GGGAUAAGAAUAAUUGUUUCAAGCAGAAAGUUAUUUAUGAGAAGAAGCCAAUGUUUUGUUCUAAGUGCGAUACAUGGGGCACUUAAGUGAUCAGUAGUUUGAUUGCAAGGACUCCUACUCCUAUUGUUAUCGACACUCCUCUCUACGUCCUACUGGUUGGGCAUGUAAGGGUAAUGGUAAGGAGGUGGUUGUGAAGUCUCCU
rnacentral:lncRNA from 1 species